rnacentral:tRNA from 1 species
GUGCCCGUAGUGUAGUGGAUCUCGCACGCCAGGCUGUGGACCUGGAAGCGCCGGGUUCGAUUCCCGCCGGGCACC